rnacentral:lncRNA from 1 species
AAAGCCCUUGGUGUUGCAUUAAAUCCCAACCGAGGUUGUUCCGGUGUAACAGUAAAAUAAGCCCCCUUAAUUAGGACAAGCGUUUAUUUCAACAAAUAGCCGACAGAGUACUAAGGAUGUAAACAUUUUAAUACACUACUCAUGGCAAAUCCGAUCAAUUUGUUUUGUUGUUCAUGCCAGAUUUCUUCCUUAGCCUAUCAAGAUAAGGAGUCCACAACGUUCGUCAAUACAGAAGUCCUGCUUUGAAAGACUACAGAGAUGUUGCCAUUCAGCUGCUGGUGGCUAGGAGGGACAAUGAUCUAAAGCAGCUUCAUCUCCUGUAUGCUUUCCGUCAUCUGAAACCAAUUUAACUGUACAGUUUAAGGGCAUUCCUGCUGGGUAUCCGCCAUAUUGCUAUUCACAGAUUUGUAAAGAGAGGAGAGAGGAAAAUGACAGGGAUCCACUCUGGAUAAAUGGACAUGGACUCACUGAAUGAGCAUGUGAUGUGGACUGACUAUCAGUUGAGUUUAUGUUGUGAAUUUAGUUUUUCAAUGGCAAAACAGAAUUAUGUAUAUUUCUAACGUGUAUAUUGUGACAAUAUUUUCCCGAGAUUUGUAUAAACAUUGCUGUCUGUCUCUGACAUUUCCAACAAUGUUUAAAUAUUCAGAUUUGAUCUCCAGCUGUCCCAUAAUAAUGAACGUGUCGGGACGAGACAGAGAGGCAGGCAGGCAGGCAGUGUUUCUCAGCCAG